GCAAGUCGAACGGUCUCUUCGGAGAUAGUGGCGGACGGGUGAGUAACGCGUGAGAAUCUGCCUCUAGGUCGGGGACAACAGUUGGAUACGACUGCUAAUCCCGGAUGAGCCGGAAGGUAAAAGAGUUAUUGCCUAGAGAAGAGCUCGCGUCCGAUUAGUUAGUUGGUGGGGUAAUGGCUUACCAAGACGGCGAUCGGUAGCCGGUCUGAGAGGGCGAUC
rnacentral:rRNA from 1 species